AUAAAACGUAACAACUAAACGUAAUCUAACAAGGAUUAGCAAAGCUUCCACAAUCUUCAUCUAAAAUAUAUAUGUUUGCUAUAUCAGUUUGCUUUAUAUCUAUGGACAACGAUAACUUAAGUAUGAAAAGCAAAAUUAUCGUUAAGCCACUGAUGUUUUCUCAGCCUUGUUAUGCGUUUCUCGAGCCAAUGGUCUUUUAGAAACGUCUCUAUCUCCAUAAGGUAGAGGUAAGAUCUGCUUCUACUCUACUCUCUUCAGACCCCAUUCGUGAAAAUAAACAGGCAUAUUAUUGUUGUUGUAUUGAUAUUUUCUGACAUCAGUUCAUAAAGUUUGUCAUCAAUUAUAGUUUCACCUGGAAACAUUUUUACAUCAAUUAUAAUUUUAGGUACUUUAUAUAACUUUCUCCAAAUUUAUCACUUUACUGAAAAUGUCCUUCUUGCUCAAGAAAGUAUUAAUGACAUAAAAAAAAAGAUAACGAUGGAGGUAAUGUUGCGAUCAAGCUUGAUAUGGUCAAAGCAUAUGAUAGAUUUGACUGGGAUUUCCUAUUAGCCGUCUUGAAAAGGUUUGGGUUCUCUGACACUUGGACUGAAUGGAUCUGGAGAUCUAUUUCUAAUAACUGGUACUCAAUUCUUAUUAAUGGGAAUAGAAAAGGCUUCUUUCGUUCUACCAGGGGCCUCAAACAAGGCGACCCUCUCUCCCCAGCUCUCUUUAUUAUUGGAGCAGAGGUUCUUACGAAAAUGCUAAACAAUCUUCCACGACACGAGUUGUAUAAGGGCUUUUAGAUGCACAGAAGGGGGGCUCAAAUCUCUCACUUAGCCUAUGCGGAUGAUGUGAUGAUCUUCACCUCGGGCUCAGAAAAUUCUUUGAAUCUAGUUAUGCAAACUCUUAAAAAUUACGAGAAUUAUUCUGGCCAGAUGAUCAGUACAGGAUGCGAUUGACACUCACGCGCAAGGCUAAAGAAAAUGAAACUCACCAUAUAUGUUAUUGUGUAAGUUGAAUUAUGUUUGAUAGACACACUUGAGGCCAAGUUCAGUGGUUCAAUAGGAACAACGCUUAGUUGAGGUGCCAAAAUAAAAAAAUGAACAAAUUUAGGGGGCUGCAUAUGCAUUAAGCCUUAAAUAAUUAAAUGGUUAGAACCACAUUUAAGGUCAUUAUCACUAGGUUAAUCGAUUGGACAUAAUUAAAUUGUCAGCGGAUUAUCCUGUCUCUUUAUUUUAUUCUGCUGGAAAAAAAAAUACAGAAGAUGAUUCACUGUAAUCAUAACUCAUCAAUUCCAUUAAUUUUGCGGUUGAGAAUUAAAUGAAUCUCUCAAGACUAUGACGACUCACUGUUAAAUAAAUAAAUAAAAAACAGAUGAUAGGAAAAAAAAAAAAAAA